rnacentral:rRNA from 1 species
GAUGAACGCUGGCGGCGUGCUUAACACAUGCAAGUCGAACGGUGAAGGAGGAGCUUGCUCUUGUGGAUCAGUGGAGAACGGGUGAGUAACACGUGAGCAACCUGCCCCUGACUCUGGGAUAAGCGCUGGAAACGGCGUCAAAUAAUGGAUAGGUGAUGUGACCGCAAGGUCUGCAGCUGGAAAGGAUUUCGGUUGGGGAUGGGAUCGCGGCCUAUCAGCUUGUUAGUGAGGUAAUGGCUCACCAAGGCGUCGACGGGUAUCCGGCCUGAGAGGGUGACCGGCCACACUGGGACUGAGACACGGCCCAGACUCCUACGGGAGGCAGCAGUGGGGAAUAUUGCACAAUGGGCGGAAGCCUGAUGCAGCAACGCCGCGUGAGGGAUGACGGCCUUCGGGUUGUAAACCUCUUUUAGCAGGGAAGAAGCGAAAGUGACGGUACCUGCAGAAAAAGCACUGGCUAACUACGUGCCAGCCGCCGCCGUAA